AUUGAACGCUGGCGGCAUGCCUUACACAUGCAAGUCGAACGGCAGCAUAGGAGCUUGCUCCUGAUGGCGAGUGGCGAACGGGUGAGUAAUAUAUCGGAACGUGCCCUAGAGUGGGGGAUAACUAGUCGAAAGACUAGCUAAUACCGCAUACGAUCUACGGAUGAAAGUGGGGGAUCGCAAGACCUCAUGCUCCUGGAGCGGCCGAUAUCUGAUUAGCUAGUUGGUGGGGUAAAAGCCUACCAAGGCAACGAUCAGUAGCUGGUCUGAGAGGACGACCGGCCACACUGGGACUGAGACACGGCCCAGACUCCUACGGGAGGCAGCAGUGGGGAAUUUUGGACAAUGGGGGCAACCCUGAUCCAGCAAUGCCGCGUGAGUGAAGAAGGCCUUCGGGUUGUAAAGCUCUUUUGUCAGGGAAGAAACGGUAGUAGCUAAUAUCUAUUACUAAUGACGGUACCUGAAGAAUAAGCACCGGCUAACUACGUGCCAGCCGCCGCCGUAACAC
rnacentral:rRNA from 1 species